CCAAAUGUCCUUUGACAAGCUUUGCGCCCGGGUGAAAGCCCAGGCCAGAGUUCAAACCUUUUGUGAACCACAAACAAAAAAUUUUGCUUCGGCAGCUGGUCCGGCUGGGUCUCUGACCUGCCCGCUCCGUCAGCCUGCCGACGGCACCCAAUCCAAACCUGAUUACACAAUCUUGUCUGAAACCAUUCUGUAUCUGAAUGAAAAUUA
rnacentral:misc_RNA from 1 species